CCUUUUGGGUUAACUAAUGCACCUAGUACUUUCAUGAGAUUAAUGAACGAAGUUUUAUGUGCCUUCAUUGGACGAUUUGUGGUAGUUUACUUUGAUGACAUAUUGAUUUAUAGCCAAUCUUUAGAGGAACAUUUGGAACAUUUACGUGCUGUUUUUAUUGCUCUAUGUGAUGCACGUUUGUUUGGUAACCUUGGAAAGUGCACCUUUUGCACCGACCGAGUAUCUUUUCUUGGCUAUGUUGUCACUCCACAGGGAAUUGAAGUUGAUAAAGCCGAGAGUGAAGCUAUUGCAGUUGGUCGCAGCCCAAAACGGUCACACAAGUGA
rnacentral:rRNA from 1 species